UUCCAGACUCCUACGGGAGGCAGCAGUGAGGAAUAUUGGUCAAUGGGCGCGAGCCUGAACCAGCCAAGUAGCGUGAAGGAUGACUGCCCUACGGGUUGUAAACUUCUUUUAUAAAGGAAUAAAGUGAGGCACGUGUGCCUUUUUGUAUGUAUUUUAUGAAUAAGGAUCGGCUAACUCCGUGCCAGCAGCCGCGGUAAUACGGAGGAUCCGAGCGUUAUCCGGAUUUAUUGGGUUUAAAGGGAGCGUAGAUGGGUUGUUAAGUCAGUUGUGAAAGUUUGCGGCUCAACCGUAAAAUUGCAAUUGAUACUGGCAGCCUUGAGUACAGUUGAGGUAGGCGGAAUUCGUGGUGUAGCGGUGAAAUGCGUAGAUAUACGGAGGAACACCAGUGGCGAAGGCGGAUUGCUGGACAGUAACUGACGCUGAGGCGCGAAAGCGUGGGGAGCAAACAGGAUUAGAUACCCCAGUA
rnacentral:rRNA from 1 species